rnacentral:misc_RNA from 1 species
AAAGUCGUAACAAGGUUUCCGUAGGUGAACCUGCGGAAGGAUCAUUACAAAAAAUCCAAUGGCUAGCAUACUCUCAAGCAUGCGAAUCAUCAAACCAUUUCUGAGUACAUUACUUCCGCGUUGCUUUCGCAGGUGGACCGGCGUGACGGGGGACGAGGGUCCGCAUCGCGUCGUAAAAUCUGCGAAAGGGUCUGAGUUUUUUUAUUAUUAAAUUCUUCGUUUAACCGUCGUUCAAUUCUCGUCUGAAACAAACUACAAAACAAAAACAAAACUUUCAACAACGGAUCUCUUGGUUCUC